AGGGAUGUAGUUCAAUUGGUAGAGCAUCGGUCUCCAAAACCGAAAGUUGUGGGUUCAAGUCCCUCCAUCCCUG
rnacentral:tRNA from 1 species